rnacentral:tRNA from 3 species
GCCGGGAUAGCUCAGUGGUAGAGCAACGGUUUUGUAAACCGUAGGUCGUGGGUCCGAAUCCCUCUCCCGGCUCCA